rnacentral:rRNA from 1 species
GUUGCUUCGGUAACUGACCUAGCGGCGGACGGGUGAGUAAUGCUUAGGAAUCUGCCUAUUAGUGGGGGACAACAUUUCGAAAGGGAUGCUAAUACCGCAUACGCCCUAAGGGGGAAAGCAGGGGAUCUUCGGACCUUGCGCUAAUAGAUGAGCCUAAGUCGGAUUAGCUAGUUGGUGGGGUAAAGGCCUACCAAGGCGACGAUCUGUAGCGGGUCUGAGAGGAUGAUCCGCCACACUGGGACUGAGACACGGCCCAGACUCCUACGGGAGGCAGCAGUGGGGAAUAUUGGACAAUGGGGGGAACCCUGAUCCAGCCAUGCCGCGUGUGUGAAGAAGGCCUUUUGGUUGUAAAGCACUUUAAGCGAGGAGGAGGCUACUGGUAUUAAUACUACUGGAUAGUGGACGUUACUCGCAGAAUAAGCACCGGCUAACUCUGUGCCAGCAGCCGCGGUAAUACAGAGGGUGCGAGCGUUAAUCGGAUUUACUGGGCGUAAAGCGUGCGUAGGCGGCUGAUUAAGUCGGAUGUGAAAUCCCUGAGCUUAACUUAGGAAUUGCAUUCGAUACUGGUCAGCUAGAGUAUGGGAGAGGAUGGUAGAAUUCCAGGUGUAGCGGUGAAAUGCGUAGAGAUCUGGAGGAAUACCGAUGGCGAAGGCAGCCAUCUGGCCUAAUACUGACGCUGAGGUACGAAAGCAUGGGGAGCAAACAGGAUUAGAUACCCUGGUAGUCCAUGCCGUAAACGAUGUCUACU